UCUCUGCUAGUAUAUCGGCUAGUACACGCGCCUGUCAUUUGCUGCCAGUGAUGACGCGCGAAAGCUGGGUUCGAUUCCCAGGCAGAGAG